UGGCCUUGGUUUUGUAAUGGU
rnacentral:snRNA from 1 species